GUUGUCCCAUUGAUAUGUAUCUAGUUAUUGGUUUGACAGCAUGUAAAUUUUUUUUCAAAAAUGGUCAUGAGUUAUUGGAUAUAUUAUAGUAAAUUGCUAUGCUAUUGUAUAGAGGGAUUGUAUCUCUAUAUGUUCUUAGAGAUUUUGUUGAUACUAUUUGUCUAGGUCAGUUACAAGGAUUGUAUCUCAAGAUGUUCUUUUGCUAGGGAUUUUGUUGUAACACUAGUUUUAUAGAUCAAUUACAACCUUAGG
rnacentral:lncRNA from 1 species